rnacentral:lncRNA from 1 species
UCUUUGUUUCAGUUUAUUUUAGCCGGGCAAGCUGUUGCUCACAUUGUCAAGCACUAGAAUGCAACGAUUUACAAGAACUCAAUGAUCCUAUCUGUUCUCAUCCCUGCACAUUACGAACAUUCUUUUCUGCUGUUCGGUGUUGGUCAUAGUGACAUCCUGAUUUGCUCGCGCUGAUAAAUCUGACCGCUGGUUCUGUUAGCGUCCAAACAUAGUAUGGUACAUUUCGCAUCACGAAGGAGGCAAAUUCUAGUCCAAGAUGGCCUCGCA